rnacentral:sRNA from 1 species
GUCGGCUGAUCGGACACCCUGUGGUCCAGGAUCCUGAACAGCCCCCCCAGCCCCCCAGAUCGCGGGCCGGUCAGCCGACAAACUCCAUAUCCCCUCCCCUAAGAGGCCCGCGCGGAUUUCCCCCCACCGCGCGGGCU